rnacentral:rRNA from 1 species
UACGUAGGGUGCGAGCGUUAAUCGGAAUUACUGGGCGUAAAGCGUGCGCAGGCGGUUCGUUGUGUCGGCGGUGAAAUCCCAGGGCUUAACCUUGGAACUGCAUUUUUAACUGCCGGGCUAGAGUAUGUCAGAGGGGGGUAGAAUUCCACGUGUAGCAGUGAAAUGCGUAGAGAUGUGGAGGAAUACCGAUGGCGAAGGCAGCCCCCUGGGAUAAUACUGACGCUCAUGCACGAAAGCGUGGGGAGCAAACAGG